rnacentral:rRNA from 1 species
UGAGGUCCUGGUUAUUGCCGGGCUCGAACCGGGAGGACGUGAGGGGGGCUAAGUCGUAACAAGGUAUCCGUAGGUGAACCUGCG